CCGCCGGGAAACUUCUUCCUCUUCCUGCUCUCUCCUCCGACCGGGGAGCCAAUUGCGCGAUGCGGCCCGUCCGAGAAUGAAGAAGAAAACUCACUAAUUGUGCUGAACCCGUAGCGAGACAUAAUCAGGCUUGGAAUACCCUACACUAAAAAUGCAUGACUGUCGCCCUUGUGGAUGUUCCGGGUGUUGCGAGGCUGUGAGUGCUACAAGACAACAGGUACGUCACACUUGUUCCGCAAGCUACAUCAUCG